ACCAGUUAGCCAGUGCUUCUGCCUCAGCUUCCCCCAACAGAUGUGAACAGCAGCAUUUAUUUGCAACCCUGGCAUACGGCUUCUUGCGUUGGUUUGAGUACCCUCAUCUCCUUUUCUUCUCAUUUGUUCAUAUUCUCCCUUCAUUGUUGAUGCUUUUUUACUUGGUAAACUUUUUUACUUGGCUUACUUUACAGAUGCUACAGAAGUCUGCAGAGUAUUGACCUGGAUUUGUCAGCAGCUGCCAAAUCCCUUUGAAUCAUGGCUUGUGUGACAUUACUGAUACAGUGGGGUACAGGAAACAGAGAAGGGAAAGGACCAGCAGACCUGAUUCCUGUCACAGUUGUUUUUAUCACUGCCCUGCUAAAUCAUCUCUGGAAGUUCCUGCACUCCCAACCUGAAUUGCUUCCCAGCAGUUACAAAAAGACCCUACAGCCAAGGGCAGUGUUUAUCAAAUCAGACUGUUUAGAGUAAUUAUUUAGUCCACAGAUAUUUGUAUCUGCAUCCAGUGAACUUCUAGAGUCUCCACUUCCAGAGGAAUAAGAGAGAAGGGAGGAAGCUGGAAAAUGAAGAGUCACUUGAAAAAGAAAGAGAGGGUUAAGGCAAUAAGAAGAACCCAGACAGGAAAUGAAAGAU